AGAGACAGCUCAGAUUCCUUAGAGAAGGGGAAAAAAUUCCUAAGUGCUCAGUAUGGGGAAUUGAGAACUGUUCUCCCUGUGAUGGGGAAACAUUCUGUCCUGAUGUUAGUACCAUGCAGCCUGGGAAACUCUAGCUUGGGGUGGUGGUGGUGGUGCGCAUGCUCAGUGCAAUGACAGAUGAGUUGUCCACACCCUGGUCUCCAUGUUCCAUGCCCAAAAGCCCUCAAUUAAGUUCUUUCAAUAGGAAGACUGAAGAGUGUCUGUCAUCCAUUGGCCACUUCAUCAUGAAACAUGCCCCAACUUAAAAUCCACGUCCUCUCUGACAGCCUGAUUAUUCUCCCUGAGAACACUCCACGAACCUCUCAAAUCUGUUCAUUUAGAAUUCCUGGUAUAAUGUUGGAUAAUUCAUCUAGAUUUGCACACAUGAAUCUCUUUUCCCUGGGCAAAGAAGACUCACUGCAUCUUCCUUCACUUCUCAGAGCUCUCAUAUGGCCCAGCGUGUCUACUCAGAAGAAAAUGCAAACGGAAGUCUAUGUAUGCGAACAUGUCUGCACAAGAAGGAAGCCAGGCAGAAAUAUACGAGCCAUCAUCACAUUGAGCACCGAGCUACAGAAAUAUCUGAAAAAGUAGCAGAAACUGUCAGGGCUAGUUUCACCAGAAGGCUUGAAUCGGCAAGGGCUUGUAGCACCCAGGCCAUGUGAAGGUGUGGAAACAGCUAGGGGUUUUAGCUACUGAACUCACAGAGAUGGAGAAUAGAAUGGGAGUGUCGGAGCCUAGGAGAGAGGAGUGAGGAGUUUGUGUUCCUCAGGAAUGGGAAGAAGUCCUGGCAAUGAUGGGGAGUGAGAAACAUCCUAGAACUGCAAAGCCACUCAACUGUUUGCAGCUCCACAGAUUUGCACAUCAACAGCUUAGACAGUCCGAGGACACACAGGAAAAAGAUACAAGCUCAGUCCCUUCCACGGCUCUCACAGCAGUCUUUGGACAACUGUGUGGGUUUCCCUACACAUCAAUCCAGUAGUCAGUUCUUGGCAAAGUCCUGCAAGGCAGCCUCCAAUAUCAUUCAAUUUGGAUUUGAUUCUUCCAGGAAGCAAAGGCGGACACCACAGAGCAGGGCUGGGGCCUCCAGAUGGCCUCUGCUUCGGGACCAAUUUCAAAUCCCAGCGUCCAGAACUUACCACCUAUCAGUUAGGGAUUACACACACACACACACACACACACACCCCUUUGGCUCUGAUUAAUCUGCUAGCCCUGCUCACAGAACUCAGGGAAACAUGUUUCCUAAUUUAUUAUGAAGAGCACUCUAAAGGAUAUAAAUAAAACAUCUCAUGCAGGCCUCCAUCUAGAAGGGUCCUAAGGACAGGUGCUUCUAUCCCCCAGGGAUUGAGGGUCUGACUGCUACAUGAGUAAAAUCUUACUCACCUCCUGGGAGCCUCCAUGUGUUUGUUACCCAGAUCUUUCUAGAUACUCCAUUGAGGUCAGGUCACAGAUAGAUGUGUAGAAAGGUUAUUGUACAAAAGGGUUUGACUUCAGUCCAACUGAGUGGCGAGAGAGUCCUGUGUGCUCAGACUCGUGACCUCUGCACGUGUCUCCAUCCUCAGAGCUAGGCAGGAGCCUGUGGAAUGGGGUCCUAGGAUAUGCUAUCAUUUCCAAGUAGGUCAGAAAACAUCUUUAUGGCUGGUCCCAAGCCAGAGGCAGGAUAAACCAGAGCAUGUCACUGUGACCCGCCCUCAGAAGAGACCAUCAGUGAAAAGAUGAGAAGGGAGGACUUUUGCUUUCUGGGACGUGGAUGCUCCAAGCAUGAUCACAACACACUUUUGCCUGGAUCCCUUAGCCUUCCAGAGGUGCUUCAGCUUUCACAACAGAUGCACUGAUUGUUCUAGCCACUUAGCCAAUAGCCAUAGCCAAGGGGACCUCGGACAAAACCCAACACAUAUACAUAUAUACUUGUUGGGAGCCGACACUUAGCAGAAAGUGGCUGUCAUCUCUGCAGCCAUCUCAGGCUAUUUACUUACAGGUGGUCUUUUCCACCCUGACGAGAGACUUGGUUUCCUACCAUGAUGUUUUUGCAAGAAGCCCACCACAGCUGAACACACUGAUAACAUCUGGUUUUUCUCCUACACAUCCUGGAGCUGUGGUUAAGUGUCUCCAGCUGCACUCCCCAGCAAGUGCAUGCAUACCUGUAGUUGCCUUUCAAUAAAGGAGACCGAGACUUGAGACUUGAGCAGAUAGCCUGUGUUGUCUUCAUUCUUUGUGUCUCCUGCCCCUCAGUUCCCACUCUCUUGUAGACCCCGUUGACAGACCUGUGGACUGGGUCAUAUAUUAUUAUAUAUUAUGUGUGUGUUGAAUGUGUCUGUCUAUGUAUAUACAUAUGAAUACUAUAAUUGGCUGAUCUUAUGUUAUCUGUGUUGUUUGUGGCCUGAUUGUGUCUAUUCCCCAAAAUUCAUACUUUGACCCUUUACCCUCGAGUAAGGCCAAGGAGGAGGGCUCUUUGGGGGUAAUUUGGGAAUAAGAGUGUAUACCCUCAUGAUUAGCUUACUAUCUUUAUAAAGGAGACCUAAUGAGUCUCAUGGUCCCAUCCCCCAUGUGAGAGAACACGAAUAAAAUGUUGUCUAUGGAGCAAGAAUUCGGUCACAUGAAAUGGAUCUAAUUCACAGGGGUCACCUAAGACCAUCAGAAAACAGAUAUUACUUACAUUGUGAUUCAAAACUGUAGCAAAAUUAUAGUCAUAACGCAGCAGUGAAACUAAUUUUAUGAUUGGAGGUCACCACAACAUGAGGAUCUAUAUUAUAGGGUCACAAAGUUAGGAAGGUUGAGGACCACACUGUUCUAUAGCUUACAGGCUGAAGGUAUCUUG
rnacentral:lncRNA from 1 species